UCCCUGGUGGCUCAGAGGUUAAAGCGUCUGCCUCCAAUGCAGGAGACCCAGGUUCGAUCCCUGGAUUGGGAA
rnacentral:tRNA from 1 species